GGGCUCGUAGCUCAGCUAGGCAGAGCGUCGGGCUUUUAACCCGAUGGUCGCGGGUUCAAUUCCCGUCGAGCCCG
rnacentral:tRNA from 1 species